UACGUAGGGUGCGAGCGUUGUUCGGAAUUACUGGGCGUAAAGCGUGCGCAGGCGGUUCGUUGUGUCGGCGGUGAAAGCCCCGGGCUUAACCUGGGAAUGGCCGUUGAAACUGGCGAACUGGAGUGUGGCAGAGGGGGGUGGAAUUCCGCGUGUAGCAGUGAAAUGCGUAGAGAUGCGGAGGAACACCGAUGGCGAAGGCAGCCCCCUGGGCUAACACUGACGCUGAGGAGCGAAAGCGUGGGGAGCGAACAGG
rnacentral:rRNA from 1 species